rnacentral:pre_miRNA from 1 species
UAAUAUAUUUUAGGCAGAUCAUCAUUUAGUUAUGGUAGACUUACACAUGACUAAUAAGAAAAACUUCAUAAAAUUACAGUUCUUGUAUGAAAUGAUCGA